rnacentral:rRNA from 1 species
CCUACGGGCGGCAGCAGUGGGGAAUAUUGCACAAUGGGGGAAACCCUGAUGCAGCGACGCCGCGUGAGUGAAGAAGCGCCUCGGCGCGUAAAGCUCUGUCAGCAGGAACGACGAUGACGGUACCUGAAGAAGAAGCCCCGGCUAACUACGUGCCAGCAGCCGCGGUAAUACGUAGGGGGCAAGCGUUAUCCGGAUUUACUGGGUGGAAAGGGAGCGUAGACGGCGAUGCAAGUCUGAAGUGAAAGGCGGGGGCCCAACCUCCGGACUGCUUUGGAAACUGUAUGGCUGGAGUGCAGGAGAGGUAAGUGGAAUUCCUAGUGUAGCGGUGAAAUGCGUAGAUAUUAGGAGGAACACCAGUGGCGAAGGCGGCUUACUGGACUGUAACUGACGUUGAGGCUCGAAAGCGUGGGGAACAAACAGGAUUAGAUACCCCGGUAGUC